AUUGAACGCUGGCGGCAGGCCUAACACAUGCAAGUCGAACGGUAACAGGAAGCAGCUUGCUGCUUCGCUGACGAGUGGCGGACGGGUGAGUAAUGUCUGGGAAACUGCCUGAUGGAGGGGGAUAACUACUGGAAACGGUAGCUAAUACCGCAUAACGUCGCAAGACCAAAGAGGGGGACCUUCGGGCCUCUUGCCAUCGGAUGUGCCCAGAUGGGAUUAGCUAGUAGGUGGGGUAACGGCUCACCUAGGCGACGAUCCCUAGCUGGUCUGAGAGGAUGACCAACCACACUGGAACUGAGACACGGUCCAGACUCCUACGGGAGGCAGCAGUGGGGAAUAUUGCAUAAUGGGCGCAAGCCUGAUGCAGCCAUGCCGCGUGUAUGAAGAAGGCCUUCGGGUUGUAAAGUACUUUCAGCGGGGAGGAAGGGAGUAAAGUUAAUACCUUUGCUCAUUGACGUUACCCGCAGAAGAAGCACCGGCUAACUCCGUGCCAGCCGCCGCAGUAA
rnacentral:rRNA from 1 species